AGCUUGGGAGACAGUGCACCGGGUGCUAACGUCCGGACACAAGAGGGAAACAACCCAGACCGCCAGCUAAGGUCCCUAAUAUUGGCUAAGUGGGAAACGAAGUGGGAAGGCUAAAACAGUCAGGAGGUUGGCUUAGAAGCAGCCAUCCUUAAAAGAAAGCGUAAUAGCUCACUGGUCAAGUGAACCUGCGCCGAAAAUAUAACGGGGCUCAAGCCAUACACCGAAGCUUCGGGUGGUCCGUAAGGAUCGCGGUAGGGGAGCGUUCUAGGUGCAUUGAAGCGAUAUCGUAAGAAGUCGUGGAGCUGCCUAGAAGUGAAUAUGCUGACGUAAGUAGCGAUCAUGUUGGUGAGAAUCCAACACGCCGAAAGCUCAAGGGUUCCUGGGCCAGGUUCGUCCUCCCAGGGUUAGUCGGGUCCUAAGCCGAGGCCGAAAGGCGUAGGUGAUGGAAAGCAGGUCAACAUUCCUGCACCGAACAGGAUGGCUGUG
rnacentral:rRNA from 1 species